AGCGAACGCUGGCGGCAGGCCUAACACAUGCAAGUCGAACGAACCCUUCGGGGUUAGUGGCGGACGGGUGAGUAACACGUGGGAACGUGCCUUUAGGUUCGGAAUAACUCAGGGAAACUUGUGCUAAUACCGAAUGUGCCCUUCGGGGGAAAGAUUUAUCGCCUUUAGAGCGGCCCGCGUCUGAUUAGCUAGUUGGUGAGGUAAUGGCUCACCAAGGCUACGAUCAGUAGCUGGUCUGAGAGGAUGACCAGCCACAUUGGGACUGAGACCCGGCCCAAAGUCCUACGGGAGGAAGCGGUGGGGAAUCUUGCGCAAUGGGCGAAAGCCUGACGCAGCCAUGCCGCGUGGAUGAUGAAGGUCUUAGGAUUGUAAAAUCCCUUCACCGGUGAAGAUAAUGACUGUAGCCGGAGAAGAAGCCCCGGCUAACUUCGUGCCAGCCGCCGCCGUAAGAC
rnacentral:rRNA from 1 species